AGGGAUGCCUCACGGAUCUGGUGGCAGUGGGCCAGAGCUCCCAGGCUCAGUGAAGGCUCAGCACUCUGAGUUGUUUGGACAGUGGAUGGCAGGACUCCGUGGGGACCAGCGAGUGUGUGAAUGUUCAUAGGACACACAGCCCCAUCAAAUUGCUUGUGUGGUGGUGAUUUGGAUCCUGCCUUCACAUGCACUGAGGAAGAGCCAGUAGGAGGCAGAAAGCCCCUGAGACCAUGGGGCAGUCAAUGGGCCCCACCCCAACUGGCACCAUCACAGCAUUUCUGCCAGCUCCUUCCUCUUCAGGGUGUGGAUGGACUUGGCUUCGAAAGCUCUUUAUGAACAGGGCUCAUUUCACUGUCUGUGUCCUCAUCACUGGUGCAGUACCUGGUACAAAGCAGACACCCAAGUACUGACCAGUUGGUUGGGUGCCCUCCUGUCCUUCAGUGCCCCCUCCACAGAUGACCCAGACUGCAGACUCACGACCAUUUCUCAGAUGGGCUUUGAGAGUUGCCAAGGCUGAAGAUUCCAUGCCUCCCUGGUUAGUCUGGCCAAGGACCCCAGCCAGCAGCCACACUGCCCAUCACUGAGCUUGUGAUGGGCAGUAGGGCCUUUCCAGACCGGAUUUUGGCCAAGACUGGGUACCAUCAAUCCACUAACAGCCUGAGAGAGACCCCAACUUCGGGGCACCAGUAGUGAUCUCCAAGGGGUUGCAAAGACCACCGGUGAAGGAGUCGGGCCUUGGGCCCUGCCCAGAGAAAACCCUUCUAAGAUCUCAUAAGCCUGGAGCAGGCAUCGCCAUCCAGGAAUCCAGCCAUUCCUCACUCUGACUUCUGCUCCCAAGUGGGAUGCUUAGCUGCCCGUCCUGGAGCGCCCAGAAGAGCUUUCACACGACUGUGGGAGAUCCCCUUAGGGCAGAGGUGAGGAAGGUAGAGGGUAGAGGCUGUGACUCGCCUGGUCGCCCAGGUCAUCGACAACAGAGCCAGGGAGGCCUCAAACCCAGCUCCUCCUGAAGAGGUCUAGGGGUUCUGGGGCGCUGGGACCCCAAGAUCGGGUACCGGACCCUGCUGAAUGAAUUCAACUCAAAUCUUCUUCAGCCAGAGGAAAGGUUUAUUAGUGAUAAAUCACUGAGGCCAGGUGACGCCCAUAAGGACAGGCGGGCAUAAGAAAGGCUCAGCCUUUGGGGCAUCUGAAUGAGGGCCGAGGUGGAUCUUAAAUACUAAAGUUAACAUUGGGUGGCCGGAGAAGGGGGUUGGGGAAAGGGUCUAGGUAAGAAUUCUAAUUGGGGAGGUCAGAGAGAUUGACUAGACAAUGGGAAUAGAUAAUGGAGGGAACAGGAAGGCAGAAGUUUGAAAGGCAUCUGCAUAAAAUCAAGGUGGGACUAGUACUUUCAAAAGGAGAUAAAGGAAGGCUUUUCUGGGACCUAUAGACAAGAGGGAGGCUAAGGCUUUCAAAGGGAGAAGAGGGGAGUUGAUUAGGAAAUUUGAAGGUUUAAGGGUUUUCUGGGUCCUGUAGACAAACAGGAGCCAGAUUCUAUUCAGGGCAAGGGUUGAAGGUGCAUCUGAAUAAGAUCUAAAGGUAAGCUAGGGCUUUCAAGGGAGAUGAGGGUCUGGGGCCUGUGAGUCAGAUUCACUUUGGGGCAAAGGGUGAAGAUCUUGGCUUGGGCCCCGCCCCUAUCACUCCGACUGCCUCCCGUGGUGGGACAGCAGCUGAAAGGUCAGGGAAUGGGCAUCAAUGGACCAGAGUCAGCGUCCCAUUCACCUCUUAUACUCAUGAACCCAGCGAAGCCCAGGUACUCCUGGAGAAACUUGAGCUGUUUGUAAAUCAGAUCAAACCUGUGUCUGUAGCAGCUCCCACAGAAAAGCCAGCCAGCCCGAUUCUGUCACGGACAUCAAAGGCGCCAACCCCUGGGAUCUCGGAGCCCAGGCAGAGGCCGCAUCAGGCCACAUGACGUUAAGGGACCAAGCUCAGAUAUAAUCAGACUCUGUUAAAGAGCCUUCCGCCUACAAUGAGAAGGAAACAGCUUCCCUUGUUUGGCCAGGCUCUCCUGGAGACACAAAAAACCAACAAGGCUUUGUUUGGAACACAAGGAGGUGUUGUCCUGCAUUUCUAGAACAUGGGAGGGCAUGUGAAAGUGAGUCUUUAAAUUUAGAAUGCCAUAACAGCUGACUAGGAAUAUUCCCCCAGGGCGUUGUAAAUCCGCACUGAUAAAUGCAUCCAACCUGAUGAUCACAGGAGAAAGCACCUCCGCCCUGAAUGGGCCUCCUUCUCCAUGGACAGUCGCUGCCUCUGCUUGGAGGCCUCCAAGGAUAGGCAGCUCACUACCCUUUGCAGGCAGCUCCAUUUAGGAGGUAUUUUUCAUGGCUUCUGGUCUAAACCUGCCUCUUUGUGUCUUCCUCCUGCUGCUUCUAAUUCUGUUCCCUGGGGCCAAACAGGAUGAUGGAGAAUGGAUGCAAACCUUUGCAAACCUUGUUGUUGUUUGACUCUCUGCAACCCCAUUUGGGGUUUUCUUGGCAGAGAUACCGGAGGGGUUGCCAUUUCCUUCUCCAGCUCAUUUUACAGAUGAGGAAACUGAGGCAAGCAGGGUGAUGUGACUGGCCCAGGGUCACCCAGCUAGUUAAGUGAAUGAGGUCUGGUUUGACCUCAGGUCUUCCUUACUCUGGGCCCAGCACUCUGUCCUCUGUGCCACCUAGCUGCCCCUCCACACAAAUGCUAGGCAUUAUUAACAAUCGAGUCUAGUGGCACCUCCACAAAUGCCUUCCCCCUCUGUCUCCUCAUUUGUAAAAUGAGAGGGUUCAUAGUAGUGAUGGGGGCAGGGCCCAAGACAAGAUUUUUGCCUUUGCACCAAAGGGAAUCUGGCUCCCACUUGUCUACAGACCCCAGCUCUUAUCUCCCCUUGAAAGCCCUAGCUUACCUUUAGAUCUUAUUCAGAUGCACCUUCAACCCUUGCCCUGAAUAGAAUCUGGCUCCCGUUGGUCUACAGGACCGGAAAACCCUUAAACUUUCAAAUUUCCUAAAGGACUCCCCUCAUCUCCCUUUGAAAGCUUUAGCCUUACCUUUCAAUCUUAUUCAGAUCUGGCUCCCUUUUGUCUAUAGGCCCCAGAAAGGCCUUCCUUAUCGACUCCCCUUAUCUCCUUUUGAAAGUCCUGGCCCCACCUUGGUUUUGUGCAGAUGCCUUUCAAGCUUCUGCCUUCCUGUUCCCUCCAUUAGCUAUUCCCAUUGUCUAGUCAAUCUCUGAGACCUCCCCAAUUAGAAUUGUUACCUAGACCCUUUUCCCAACCCCCUUCUCUGGCCACCCAAAGUUACUUUAGUAUUUAAGAUCCACCUUGGCUCUCAUUCAGAUGCUGAGAAUCUCAGGCCCUCAAGGCUGAGAACUUCCCAUGCAGGCUCCUCUUUACGGUGGUCACCUGGUCAAUGGGAUUUAUCACUAAUAAACCUUUCCUCUGGCUGAAGAAGAUUUGAGUU
rnacentral:lncRNA from 1 species